rnacentral:lncRNA from 1 species
GCGAUGAUCGAUAAAUUGGCUGAACAUUUGCAGAGCUCACGCCGAUGAACAACUUGCUAUUGCUAAGGAGAUUGGUAGACGACUUCGUAUGGGGCAAACACGCACCCUUCUUCUUUACUUGGUGGCGACAAGGAUGCAUCUAUAGCAGUUCACCUUAUUUAAGAGCUGAUUGAGGAAACUGAUGAAUUUACUGGACUUUUCCUAGAACUUAAGUAUGAGAUGUGAAGGAUUUACAAGAAAGAAUGUGCAUUUGUAGAAAGAUAGGUGAUGGUGUGAAUGAUGCACCUGUUUUUAAAAAAAAAAAAAAAGCUAAAAGCACACUUUGGUAAUUGAUGUUGCUUAGCUAUAGAUGAUGAAAUCGUGUAGCAGACUACAUUUGUUACCAAUUGCGAAUCUGCUGGAGAGAGCCACAUGUAUUUAUUUU